AUCCAGCUUGUGACAGGUGGGGAAGCCUCUUCCUAGGGGAUUUGUAGCUUCAAAGAUCUUGCACGUACUCCCCUUCGGAUUCAUGUUGCAAAAUUCAGCCAGCCUCUUCUGCAACAUGGUGGGGGUCGAGGACGUGACAUUUGUACAGAUGACUACCAAGCAAGUCUAUAAAUGUGAGUUACAUCUUAACACAUCCUGCAUAAAACUGACAGUGAAGCAUCAAGCCCAAAUCACCUAUCUUUUAUUCCAGAGAAGAUUCAACAUACAACGACACAAGCGGUUGAUGAAAUGAGAAAAUGUAUGGCAAGCAUCUGGUGUAGGUGAUCAAUAAAUGCUGGUGAUGAAAUGAUCAUGUAUUCACAUUGGGGGACCAUGACAGACCUUUCAUUAAUAUGGUAAAUUUGAUACUGAUCAUCAAUGACUUAAAUUUCCAUAUUAUCAUUCAUUACCAUAUCAUUUAUCACUCAGGCUGGAAAUGGAAAUGACUAAUGAAAAUGUACAUGUAACAGCUGUUAGCUGGCUUAUCUAUCCAUCCAUUUUGGGCCUCACUCCAAUCUUGACAACAAAACCAUGUGUUUCCUCAAACCACCCCCCACUGUCAAGCUGGGAUCCAAGCUCAUCCUUGCCUAGAAGGAAACGCCCCCAGGGGUGGUUUUUCAGCAAAGCAGAAACUUCACAGUUAAGGUCAGGUGCUCCUGAGAUGCAAACUGCCCCCUGGACUCAGGGGAACCUUCUUACUCUAACUGUAUUCCAUGUCAUCUCAUCUCAGAAAGCCUCGCUUGGGUACACUGGAUAAGGAUUCUCUUCUUAAACUACUCUGUUGUGUUAAACGAUUGUCUUUUUCCAUUAUGGGAACAUGGAGCAAUGGGGGAGCAUCAGUAUUCAUAGUUAAAUAUAGUCACCUUUCUUAUUUUUUCCAAAACUCAAAAAACUGUACACUGAAAAGGGCAAAUGUUACUGUACAUCCAUUAAAAUUAAGCUGUUUAAAAUGAA